CCUCAGGUGAUCAACCUGCCUCAGCCUCCCAAAGUGCUGGGAUUACAGGCGUGAGCCACCGCACCUGGCCUAGGGGUACCUUUAAUAAAUCUUUUUGGGGGUGCAAUUCAGCCCUCAAGACCAGGUGAGAGAGUCCCUCCCAGUAUGAUUGCAAGCUCAAACCCAUGGAUCCAAAUCAGGAUACCACCUUAAAUUUAACAUAAUGCCCUUAAAAAUGAAAAAGUCCGCAAGCCAUGUUAUCAUCUGGAUUUCAACAAAGAAAAGUGACUCCAGCAUGCAGAGUGGGAUCAACUUGCUCUACCAACUCUG